UUCUGCUUAAGAAUUUCGUGAGUAAACAUACAAAUUAGUAUGUAAUGUAGGAAGGCGGUUGACUUGCAUUAUUUAUUGGAAAUUGAGCUAUCCUAUUCAGAUCUACGUUUGAGCAAAACGAUAGAUGUAAAACUCGUAAACAACUUCUUUUACUCUGAUCUUUUUUUGCAGGAAAAUUGUUUCCAUUAAACUGAUUUAGAUAAUAUUCACGCUAAUGCUCAAUAUAACAUGUACACCAUAAAUAUAUUACAGAAGUUAUGUUAUAUAUUCUUUGUAGACAACACAGAUGAUUCCACAAGAACUCUGGAGAAGGGUUUUCCCGAUUCACAGACAGAAAACACCGCUUAUUCUAUUAGAACCACAGGGGAGAGUGUUGCUGUAACACAGACGGUUCUAACGUUGAAGUGGUUUGUCUACUGCGGAGGAAUAGCAGGAGUUUUACUGCUGGUUGGGGGCUGUUUUACUUGUGUGCAGGUCAAGAAAAGAAGGAAAAAAGCAAACACGGAAAUUACCAAUGAUGAAAAAAACAUUUUAAGAUUGUCAGGCAAAGGAAAUCAAAAUGCAUCUGAACAAAAGAAAAGUAUGCAUAUUUACCAUACCAUUGACGACAACAUAUUAGCAGGUCGAAACACAAACUGUUAUGCGUAUUCAGAGGUAAUGAUUGAAUCCAGCAUCAAGAAAGGCAAAAAAACUGGAACUGAAACUUCAUGUAGUUACGGUCAACAUGCUCAACAAUACCAAAGCUUAGUCCCUGCAACUAUGGAGAUGCAUCCUUAUAAGUAGAGAACAAUAUUACAGAUAUGUUUGAAACAGUUACCAUUAAAAAAUAUGUGCAAUGUUCUCAAAAACAAUACGAUUCAGGAAAUGCAGUAGGGUUUACGGAUAAUAUUAUCUACAGAAGAAAAUAAGUAUCAGAAAUGACAAAUGACAAGGGCAAAUACGUUUUUAAAGCCUUUUUGCACACUAUCUUGAAUUAUAUUAUAUAAUUAUGUUAGUGUUUGUUGAUACAGUCCAUGCUGUUCACUUGUUCGUUAAAGGAUAAGAACACUUGUUUCCUUAAAGUAGUGAUAUUAAAUCAUAUUUGAAAAUUGAAUACAGAAUAUUGUAUUUGGAUUUGUACAUAGUAAAAAUCUGAAAUUUGGUGGUACAUAUAAUAUAUUUAUUUUAAGGGCAUACGAUACAGUUUUAAUCCGACGUUGAUUUUAUUCACAAAAAUUCGCAUACAAGCUAUUUUUUUUAUUUUCAAAUAUGUUAUAAAAGUAUACCUUCGGGUGCUAAAUCUAAAUAAAAUGGGGGCGACAUUUUCGACAUUUACAUAGAUUUUCAAUUUCUUAGAUAUUUCUAUCCGUUUGACAGCCAUACUUAAUUUUUU